rnacentral:tRNA from 1 species
GCGGUUGUGGCGAAAUGGCAGACGCGCUAGCUUCAGGUGCUAGUGGGGGUGACCUCGUGGUGGUUCGAAUCCACUCAGCCGCACCA